rnacentral:rRNA from 1 species
GAUAAACGCUGGCGGCGUGCCUAACACAUGCAAGUCGCACGUCCUCCGUUUUCGGACGGAGGGAGUGGCGGACGGGUGAGUAACGCGUGGGUUACCUACCUUCGAGUGAGGAAUACCGGCGAGAAAUCGCCGACAAUGCCGCAUACGCUUGCGCACGCAAGCAAAGCCGUAAGGCGCUCGAAGAUGAGCCUACGUCCGAUUAGCUGGUUGGUGGGGUAAUGGCCUACCAAGGCGACGAUCGGUCGCUGGUCUGAGAGGAUGAUCAGCCACACUGGGA